GUGAAUUUGGUAUUCUACGCGAUGUCUUGGUACGAGCUGACACUAAGGCACGCGGUGAAUACCAAGGUCC
rnacentral:pre_miRNA from 1 species